rnacentral:tRNA from 1 species
GAAGGUGUAUCUCAAGUGGUAGAGCGCAUGCCUAGCAUGCAUGAGGUCCUGGGUUCAAUCCCCAGUACCUCCU